UGGGGAAUAUUGCGCGAUGGGGGGAACCCUGACGCAGCCAUGCCGCGUGAAUGAAGAAGGCCUUCGGGUUGUAAAGUUCUUUCGGUAUUGAGGAAGGUUGAUGUGUUAAUAGCACAUCAAAUUGACGUUAAAUACAGAAGAAGCACCGGCUAACUCCGUGCCAGCAGCCGCGGUAAUACGGAGGGUGCGAGCGUUAAUCGGAAUAACUGGGCGUAAAGGGCACGCAGGCGGUUAUUUAAGUGAGGUGUGAAAGCCCCGGGCUUAACCUGGGAAUUGCAUUUCAGACUGGGUAACUAGAGUACUUUAGGGAGGGGUAGAAUUCCACGUGUAGCGGUGAAAUGCGUAGAGAUGUGGAGGAAUACCGAAGGCGAAGGCAGCCCCUUGGGAAUGUACUGACGCUCAUGUGCGAAAGCGUGGGGAGCAAACAGGAUUAGAUACCCUGGUAGUCCACGCUGUAAACGCUGUCGAUUUGGGGGUUGGGGUUUAACUCUGGCGCCCGUAGCUAACGUGAUAAAUCGACCGCCUGGGGAGUACGGCCGCAAGGUUA
rnacentral:rRNA from 1 species